AAUUUAGGCAUGUUUUGUGUCUUAAUUUCAGCCACCUUCCUCAUAUUGGUUGAAAUUUAUACGCCUUGUUGCUUAUUUGUGAGCAAUCUUCAAUUCUUGCUUAUUUUGUGAAGAUGCUUUGGCUUUCUUUCCGGUUUUGAGAGAUUUUGGGCCCCUUGCCGAUUUUAAGGGGGAUUUUCUCCCUUUUGCCGAAUUUUAGGAAUGUUUUACACUUCCUUUGCUUGAUUUGUGCCACAUGCCAUUGAUGACUUGUCCGUUUGUGAUGAGUUAUAUGCCACAUGGAGCUUUGUGAUACACCUUUUGUAUUCAACGAAAU
rnacentral:lncRNA from 1 species